GACAGAGGCCUCAAGCGUUAGGCGGAAUCACUGGGCUUAAAGCGUGUGUAGGCGGGUCGUUAAGUACCUUGUGAAAUCCCACGGCUCACCCGUGGAACUGCUGGGUAUACUGGCGAUCUUGGGCCAACUAGGGGCAACUGGAACAAACGGUGGAGCGGUGAAAUGCGUAGAUAUCGUUUGGAACGCCAAAGGUGAAAACAGGUUGCUGGGGUUGUGCCGACGCUGAGACA
rnacentral:rRNA from 1 species